GAAUGAACCGGCGAGUUACGAUUUGAUGCAAGGUUAAGCAGUAAAUGUGGAGCCGUAGCGAAAGCGAGUCUGAAUAGGGCGUUUAGUAUUUGGUCGUAGACCCGAAACCAGGUGAUCUACCCUUGGUCAGGUUGAAGUUCAGGUAACACUGAAUGGAGGACCGAACCGACUUACGUUGAAAAGUGAGCGGAUGAACUGAGGGUAGCGGAGAAAUUCCAAUCGAACCUGGAGAUAGCUGGUUCUCUCCGAAAUAGCUUUAGGGCUAGCCUCAAGUGAUGAUUAUUGGAGGUAGAGCACUGUUUGGACGAGGGGCCCCUCUCGGGUUACCGAAUUCAGACAAACUCCGAAUGCCAAUUAAUUUAACUUGGGAGUCAGAACAUGGGUGAUAAGGUCCGUGUUCGAAAGGGAAACAGCCCAGACCACCAGCUAAGGUCCCAAAAUAUAUGUUAAGUGGAAAAGGAUGUGGCGUUGCCCAGACAACUAGGAUGUUGGCUUAGAAGCAGCCAUCAUUUAAAGAGUGCGUAAUAGCUCACUAGUCGAGUGACACUGCGCCGAAAAUGUACCGGGGCUAAACAUAUUACCGAAGCUGUGGAUUGUCCUUUGGACAAUGGUAGGAGAGCGUUCUAAGGGCGUUGAAGCAUGAUCGUAAGGACAUGUGGAGCGCUUAGAAGUGAGAAUGCCGGUGUGAGUAGCGAAAGACGGGUGAGAAUCCCGUCCACCGAUUGACUAAGGUUUCCAGAGGAAGGCUCGUCCGCUCUGGGUUAGUCGGGUCCUAAGCUGAGGCCGACAGGCGUAGGCGAUGGAUAACAGGUUGAUAUUCCUGUACCACCUAUA
rnacentral:rRNA from 1 species